UGUCAUAUCUUCCCUCCUCUCUCUCCAUCUUUCUCUCUCUUCUUCUGAACAAAAACACAACCGCUGAAAAACAAUUCAGUGAAAAUUAAACAAAUAUUUAAAAUCACAAUCUCAGUUUUUACAGUGAUUUGUUGAUUCGGAAGUUGCUUAUUCAAGAGCUCCUUCAACUGAAAAACUUCCAGAAAUCAGGUUUCUGCGUAUUUUUCUUGUAACUUUGAAGACGUUGGUGGCUUUGGCACAGAUUCGAAAGGCAGGAAAAAUUGGAAGUAUUGAGCUGGUUAUAUCAUAGGUCAUAGUUGUAAAUUUUCUUUGAAGGAGCUGUCCCAGUUGCCUUAAUUUUCAUUUUAUUUUUGUUUCAAUUUUGGUAAUCGAAACUGGGUGCCGAUUUGGGAUGUUGAGUUACGAUAUUUUGAUUCUUGACUGGUAGCGGUGUGUUGAAUGUUAAAAAGCUUGAGGUUCAUCUUUUGGAUUGUUAGUGAGAGGCUGGCGAAACCUGUGGACUGCUCCCAGUGAAUAUUUAAGAAGUAGACUAUUUGUUGUUCUCUAUGAUGGCUAGUUCAUCUGAAAGGUGGAUAGAUCGUCUCCAGUUUUCGUCUUUGUUUUGGACUCCGCCUCAAGACGAGCAACAAAGAAAAGCUGAAAUCACUACAUAUGUGGAGUGCUUGGGUCAGUUCACAUCGGAACAAUUCCCGGAGGAUAUUGCAGAGUUAAUACGUAGUCAUUAUCCAUGGAAGGAAAAGCGCCUUAUUGAUGAUGUCUUGGCAACUUUUGUUCUUCAUCAUCCGGAGCAUGGGCAUGCUGUUAUUCUUCCAAUUAUAUCUUGUAUUAUUGAUGGUACUAUGGCGUAUUGCAAGAGCGGUUCUCCCUUUUCGUCUUUCAUAUCCUUAUUCUGCCCCAACACAGAACAUGAUUAUUCUGAACAGUGGGCUCUGGCAUGUGGUGAGAUAUUGAGAAUUUUGACUCAUUAUAAUCGUCCCAUAUAUAAGACGGAACAACAAAAUAUGGAAGGAGAAAGAAGUGGUUGUGAUAACCAUACAACAACCGGUGACUCAAGUGAUGUGCCACCCAGCCAGAUGCCUUUGAAUCAGGAUAGGAAGCCUUUAAGGCCUCUAUCUCCAUGGAUUACUGACAUAUUGCUUGCGGCGCCUCUAGGUAUCAGAAGUGACUACUUCCGUUGGUGUAGUGGCGUUAUGGGAAAAUAUGCAGCUGGAGAACUAAAGCCGCCUACAACUGCUACAUCUCGUGGGUCUGGAAAGCAUCCGCAACUUGUACCGUCAACUCCAAGAUGGGCUGUUGCUAAUGGUGCUGGUGUUAUAUUAAGUGUAUGUGAUGAAGAAGUUGCUAGAUAUGAGACUGCCACGUUGACGGCAGCAGCUGUUCCUGCACUUCUACUUCCUCCACCAACUACAGCUUUAGACGAGCAUCUAGUUGCUGGGCUACCUGCUUUGGAGCCUUAUGCACGUUUAUUUCACAGGUACUAUGCUAUUGCUACUCCAAGUGCUACUCAAAGACUUCUUCUUGGGCUUUUAGAAGCACCUCCUUCAUGGGCUCCUGAUGCACUUGAUGCAGCUGUUCAGCUUGUAGAACUCCUUCGGGCUGCUGAAGACUAUGCAUCCAGAAUAAGACUUCCUAGGAACUGGAUGCAUUUGCACUUUUUACGUGCCAUAGGAACUGCAAUGUCAAUGCGAGUAGGUAUUGCUGCUGACGCUGCAGCAGCACUACUUUUCCGGAUACUCUCCCAACCUGCAUUGCUUUUUCCUCCUUUGAGGCAAGUCGAGGGAGCUGAAAUUCAACAUGAACCAUUGGGUGAUUAUAUAUCAUCCUACCAGAGACAGAUAGAAGUUCCAGCAGCAGAAGCAACAAUUGAAGCAACUGCCCAAGGGAUUGCAUCCAUGCUUUGUGCCCAUGGCCUAGAAGUUGAAUGGAGAAUCUGUACCAUUUGGGAAGCUGCUUAUGGCUUGAUUCCGUUAAGUUCUUCUGCAGUUGAUCUUCCAGAAAUUGUCGUCGCAACACCGCUACAACCUCCCUUAUUAUCUUGGAAUUUGUACAUACCACUUCUUAAGGUCCUUGAAUAUCUUCCUCGUGGCAGUCCAUCUGAAGCAUGUCUAAUGAAGAUAUUUGUUGCUACUGUAGAAGCAAUUCUUCAAAGAGCAUUUCCAUCCGAGUCUUCAACAGAGCGUACAAGGAAACUCAAAUAUCUUUCAGGAAAUGGUUAUGCCUCUAAGAACCUUUCUGUAUCAGAGCUUCGGAUGAUGGUUCACUCUCUUUUCUUAGAAUCAUGUGCUUCUGAAGAGCUUGCUUCACGUUUACUUUUUAUUGUGUUAACUGUUUGCGUUAGUCACGAAGCUCAAUCAAACGGACGAAAGAAAAGAAGAAGCGAUAGUAGUAAUUUUCAGGAAGAAAGGGUUGAGCCAAGUCAAGACAUGUCCAGAGAAAGAAGAGAAACAAAAAGUAGGAUGAAUAAACAAGGACCUGUAUCAGCUUUUGAUUCUUAUGUUCUUGCUGCUGUUUGUGCUCUAGCUUGUGAACUGCAACUAUUUCCAUUGAUGUCACGGGGAAGGAAACGUUUGAAUUUUAAAAGUUCGCAAGAUGUGGCCAAGUUGGUCAAAAUAAAUGGAUCUUUUGAACUUCAGAGUAGCAUUGACUCAGCCAUUCGUCAUACUCAUAGGAUUUUAUCAAUUUUGGAGGCUCUCUUUUCUCUGAAGCCUUCUUCUCUUGGAACAUCUUGGAGUUACAGUUCAAAUGAAAUAGUUGCUGCAGCUAUGGUUGCUGCUCAUGUUUCAGAACUAUUUCGACGGUCAAGAGCUUGCAUGCAUGCUCUUUCUGUUUUGAUGCGGUGCAAGUGGGACGAAGAAAUUUACACCCGGGCUUCAUCACUGUACAACCUUAUUGAUAUUCACAGCAAAGCUGUCGCAUCUAUUGUCAAUAGGGCUGAACCAUUAGAAGUGCACUUAGUGUCUGCACCACUUUCAGAGUACUCUCGUGUAUCUUCAGCAGGGCGAAAGCCAACUCAACAUGAUAACCAUGUCUACUUCGAGACUGGACAGCAAUCUAUCCCGAAAUGUGAAGAGUCAUGCCAUGUUAUGGCGAAACUUUCAUUUGAAAGAGCUCCAGAUUCAAAUGUUGACUUGGAAAAUACGUUGGGCAAACGAAUAGCAAGUUUCCAGUUAGAUGCUUCUGAAUUAGCGAAUUUUCUCACAAUUGAUAGACAUAUAGGAUUCAAUGGAUGUGCACAAAUUCUUUUAAGAUCAGUGCUGGCAGAGAAGCAGGAGUUAUGUUUCUCUGUCGUUUCACUUUUAUGGCACAAGUUAAUUGCGACACCCGAAAUUCAACCUAGCGCGGAGGGGACAUCUGCCCAGCAAGGAUGGAGACAGGUAGUUGAUGCUCUAUGCAAUGUUGUUUCUGCAUCCCCAGCAAAAGCAGCUGCAGCUGUUGUGCUCCAGGCUGAUAGAGAAUUCCAGCCUUGGAUUGCUAAAGAUGAUACCCAAGGGCAAAAGAUGUGGAGAAUCAAUCAGCGGAUCAUCAAAUUGAUUGUUGAACUCAUGAGAAAUCACGAUAAACCGGAAUCGCUAGUAACUUUAGCAAGCGCAUCUGACCUUCUUUUGCGUGCUACAGAUGGAAUGCUGGUGGAUGGAGAAGCUUGCACUUUGCCCCAGCUGGAGCUUCUAGAAGCAACAGCUCGAGCAGUUCGGCCUGUGUUGGAGUGGGGAGAAUCUGGGUUGUCCAUCGCGGAUGGUCUUGCCAACCUUUUGAAGUGUCGUCUGCCAGCUACAGUUCGGUGUCUUUCUCAUCCAAGUGCACAUGUCCGUACUUUGAGUACAUCAGUUCUUCGCGAUAUUUUGCAAACUGGUUCAUUCGUCUGUAGAUCUACACCAAAGAACAUAAAUGGUGUCCACAGCCCAUCCUUUCAAUACCUCAACAGGGAAGCAAUUAACUGGAAAGAUGACCUUGAAAAGUGCUUAACUUGGGAAGCUCAUAGUCGACUCGUAACCGGAAUGCCCAUUGAGGUUCUUCAUGUUGCUGCCAAGGAAUUAGGCUGCUCUAUUUCUUUGUGAGAUUAACUAAGGCAUUGGCAACCAAUUUACUCGGACGAUAGGCGAGCGGCUUACGUAGAGAAAUACUAUCCCAAAUAAGGGUUUUAAGGUUCGUAUAUUAUGUUCAUGCCACGGUGUCAGUUGUCGGUUUUGGUGUCGUUUGAUAGUUUAGUCGGAGCAGCAAAUGGUUUUGGAGCAGACAUGGUUAUGCUCAGUUAAAUCAUUGAGGCCAUCUAUAGGAAGGCCAACCCCGGCUGCUACAUGACCCCGAUGUUCAGCAUCCCUUUCUUUUUCGAGUUGGGACGAACACGUUUGAGCUAAUCAUCAGGCGAAAGCAGGCAAGUUUGAUCAGAGUGACCAAGUGGGAAGGCUUUUGAAACACAGAUGAAACCAGUAAGUAGUUGUGUGCACAUAGGUUUUUGCUAAUGAGUUGAAGGCUAUAAUAUAUGGAGUGAGUCAUGUUUAUAUCUACUUGUGGCGCUAAAAAGUUGGGAAAAAAAAAUCUUAACCAAACUAGAAGAUAUUUUAGUGUAUUUGUUAUUAUAUUCUUAUUAUUUUUGAAAUAUUAGAAUAUGGUA